rnacentral:rRNA from 1 species
AGAGUUUGAUCCUGGCUCAGGACGAACGCUGGCGGUGUGCUUCACACAUGCAAGUCGAACGAGGUAGCAAUACCUAGUGGCGGACGGGUGAGUAACGCGUGGGAAUCUGCCUUAAGAUGGGGGAUAACGGGCCGAAAGGCUCGCUAAUACCGCAUAUGCCGAAAGGUGAAAGGAGUAAUCCGUCUUAAGAUGAGCCCGCGUCCGAUUAGCUAGUUGGUAGGGUAAAGGCCUACCAAGGCGACGAUCGGUAGCUGGUCUGAGAGGAUGAUCAGCCACAAUGGGACUGAGACACGGCCCAUACUCCUACGGGAGGCAGCAGUGGGGAAUUUUACGCAAUGGGGGAAACCCUGACGUAGCGACACCGCGUGAGCGAAGAAGCCCCUUGGGGUGUAAAGCUCUGUCAGCUGGAACGAAAAAAAUGACGGUACCAGCAGAGGAAGCAUCGGCUAACUACGUGCCAGCAGCCGCGGUAAGACGUAGGAUGCGAGCGUUGUCCGGAUUUAUUGGGCGUAAAGAGUUCGUAGGUGGUUUGUCAAGUCUGAUGUUAAAGAUCGGGGCUCAACCCUGGGACUGCAUUGGAUACUGGCAGACUUGAGUGUGGUAGAGGCUAGUGGAAUUCCCAGUGUAGCGGUGAAAUGCGUAGA